ensembl:rRNA 5S_rRNA 5S ribosomal RNA
AAUUAUGGUACAUGCUACCUUGAACAAGCCCAAGCCCGUCUGAUCUUGGAAGCUAAGCAGGGUCGGGCCUAGUUAGUAUUUGGAUGGGAGACCACCUAGGAAGACCAGGUGCUGUAGGUA